GAUGAACGCUAGCGGCAGGCCUAACACAUGCAAGUCGAGGGGCAGCACGAUUGAGCUUGCUCAAUUGGUGGCGACCGGCGCACGGGUGCGUAACGCGUAUGCAACCUACCCUGUACUGGGGUAUAGCCCGAAGAAAUUCGGAUUAAUCCCCCAUAGUAUAUUUCAAUCGCAUGAUUGGACUAUUAAAGGUUACGGUACAGGAUGGGCAUGCGUCCCAUUAGCUAGAUGGUGAGGUAACGGCUCACCAUGGCGACGAUGGGUAGGGGCCUGAGAGGGUGGUCCCCCACACUGGUACUGAGACACGGACCAGACUCCUACGGGAGGCAGCAGUGAGGAAUAUUGGUCAAUGGGCGCAAGCCUGAACCAGCCAUGCCGCGUGCAGGAGACGGUCCUAUGGAUUGUAAAGUACUUUCAGCGGGAGGAGGCGAUAAGGUUAAUAACCUUGUUGA
rnacentral:rRNA from 1 species